rnacentral:rRNA from 1 species
UGGGGAAUUUUGGACAAUGGGGGAAACCCUGAUCCAGCCAUCCCGCGUGUGCGAUGAAGGCCUUCGGGUUGUAAAGCACUUUUGGCAGGAAAGAAACGUCGCGGGUUAAUACCCCGCGAAACUGACGGUACCUGCAGAAUAAGCACCGGCUAACUACGUGCCAGCAGCCGCGGUAAUACGUAGGGUGCAAGCGUUAAUCGGAAUUACUGGGCGUAAAGCGUGCGCAGGCGGUUCGGAAAGAAAGAUGUGAAGUCCCAGAGCUUAACUUUGGAACUGCAUUUUUAACUACCGGGCUAGAGUGUGUCAGAGGGAGGUGGAAUUCCGCGUGUAGCAGUGAAAUGCGUAGAUAUGCGGAGGAACACCGAUGGCGAAGGCAGCCUCCUGGGAUAACACUGACGCUCAUGCACGAAAGCGUGGGGAGCAAACAGGAUUAGAUACCCUGGUAGUCCACGCCCUAAACGAUGUCAACUAGCUGUUGGGGCCUUCGGGCCUUGGUAGCGCAGCUAACGCGUGAAGUUGACCGCCUGGGGAGUACGGUCGC